AUAAUGAUGCAAACAGGGGUGGGCUGGGAGCAGGAGGCCAAGGACCCCAAGGGCGCAAUCCAGGUGCUGGCCCUGAGCAGGUGAACUUCCCAUGUGUGGGGACCUAGUACUCCCUGCCUGGAGGUACCUGACCUCCACAUCCCACAUUCCAGGGAGAACCAGGGCUUUCUCUCCAGCUGUGGUGGGCCACUCACUUGCCCCACUAAAGCUACAGAGACCCUCCUCACACACACUCACAUGCUUACACAUAAACACUCAUUCACCCCAUUUCCAUUCACAUGUCCACACACAGACAUGUGAACUCACACACACAUACAUGUGCUCAUACCUUAAUACCCAAACAUUUAUAUCCACAUGUUCAUACACUCACACUCAGUCACUCACCCACGUACAGUUGCACACACACUCAAAUGUUCACAGGUUCACUCAUACACUUAAACCCAUGCUCAGUAAUACACACAUUUGUAUAAUCAUACACUCAAACAUAUAUAUUCAAUCUGCUCACACACAUUUGCUCUCAAGCAUUUACCUACAGUUACACACUCUCAUGAACUCACACUCAUCCACACACAUAGUUACACACACAGACUCAAACAUUCACAGGCUGAUAUAUUCGUACAUGCUGACUCACAUCCAAUGAACACACGCUCACAGACACUUGGCUAUUCACACACAUUCACACAACACACACUUACACACAUGCACACACCCACACUUCACUCACUAACUUACUAUUUAUAUUUCACAGUCAUACAUGUACUCAUUCA
rnacentral:lncRNA from 1 species